rnacentral:lncRNA from 1 species
UUUUCUGAUUUUUUGUUUACUUUUAGGUAAUCCAAGAAAACAACAAUUUUCAUCCAUUCUAAUUGGUACCAUUUGGUAUGGCUCUAGUUCUAAAAACAGUGAAGCAAUCAAGAUUUAGGACUUGUUUGAUUCGCAGAAAGAGGAGGAAGAAAAAUAUGGUCAACGAAAAAAUUAAAAAAUACCUUAUAUUUGGUUGGAGUUUUCACGUAAAAAUGAAAAAAUAACUUUUUCAUAAAAGUAAGAUUUUUAUAUAUCAUGAAAAAGAAAUAUCUACGUAAGAUAUGAAAAAAAAUCCAAUUAGCUUAAAAAUUAAAAAAAAAUUAAUUUCAAAAGUAUCCUAAAAAUUUUAGAUAAAAUGAGACAACAUAUUUGCUUUUAUUAAGAGUAUAGUAGAUAUUCCAUAUAAUUUUUCAGGCAUCAAUUUUCAGAAAAAAACAUUUCAGUGAAAGUAGAAUUUUUGGUUCUAACUUGGCCUCCAAAAUCAAUGUAAUCCAAAUGCAAGCUUUGGAUCUGAAUCAGGCAGUUCAGAUGACGAACGCAGAGGGAUUGGAUGAUCCAGAUGAUGAAGUUGGACGAAAGUUAGACGCCCAUAUUGCAGGUGCAUAGGUAAAAAUCUCUAUAGAAAACCAAGACGUUUAUUAGGAAUUAGAAGUACGUGUACGGCCAAACUGGGGGAAGUGGUUGUAUCGGCAACCAAGCUUAGACUUGCUCCCUGUGGGUCUAUCAAUGCUGAUGGCAUUCCUCGUAGCAUUGCUACCAAAACGUUUAUAGACUCUGUUUUAGGCUUGAUCCGAAAGACUGAUACGAUACUACGAGGUCUACGACGCAGCACAAACUAUUUCCCCCAUGCAACUUAUAGCCGAACACGGCCCACAAGGUCAGUAGAUAUGAUAACGGGCUUAGACUUUUGGGCUGUGGACACUUAUCUAUGAUAACGGGCUUAGAGAAUUGGGCUGCGGACACUUAUCUUCAUCGGGCCCAUGCUUAAUCCAAGGGUCGAGAGGACAUUACCUUACGCCACUC